AAUCUCUCUGGACGUUGAGGAAGUUCUGUCGUCGGUGGCCUCGAAGUCUCUCUUUCUCUCUCGAAUUCGUGAUUUCAACGAUAUACGUUCAGUGAUCUUUGUGGUUGGUCUGUUGAAAGUGUCUCGUUCGGUGUCGAUUUUGUCAAAGUUCUGAGCUUUUUUUGUGCAAUGGGUUCGUCCGCUGACACUGGUUCUUCUAACAAGUUGUUUGUUCGUCAUCAUUGAAAACAAAGUGUAUUGCUACUUUGAAUGGAAUUUUGAGUGAGGAGCACAAGUCCAUUAUUUCGAAGACGCAAUUUGGAUGUUUUUAGAAAAAUCCCCUUUUGUACCGAAAGUUGAAGAGUGCUACCCAUACAUGGCUUAAGCACUCUCCAGGGGUCCUUACGAGUGUGUUUUCAAUGUUGUGUGGAUUGAUUAUCGCUAUUGGCCAUGGUUGAAGGUGUUCACAACAAGAAAUUUCAAGUUAGGUCAGUCCUAUGUGGAUGGAAGACCAAGUUAAGGUGUUUCUAGGUUGAGAGGUGAGUUCUUGCACCAUUGACACAUGACUAAUGUUGUUGUAAUCGAUUAUAGGGAGCUGGUAAUCGC
rnacentral:sRNA from 1 species